rnacentral:rRNA from 1 species
UUAGGAGUUUUUGUCUGCUCAGGACGAACGCUGGCGGCGUGCCUAAUACAUGCAAGUCGAGCGGACAGAAGGGAGCUUGCUCCCGGAUGUUAGCGGCGGACGGGUGAGUAACACGUGGGUAACCUGCCUGUAAGACUGGGAUAACUCCGGGAAACCGGAGCUAAUACCGGAUAGUUCCUUGAACCGCAUGGUUCAAGGAUGAAAGACGGUUUCGGCUGUCACUUACAGAUGGACCCGCGGCGCAUUAGCUAGUUGGUGGGGUAAUGGCUCACCAAGGCGACGAUGCGUAGCCGACCUGAGAGGGUGAUCGGCCACACUGGGACUGAGACACGGCCCAGACUCCUACGGGAGGCAGCAGUAGGGAAUCUUCCGCAAUGGACGAAAGUCUGACGGAGCAACGCCGCGUGAGUGAUGAAGGUUUUCGGAUCGUAAAGCUCUGUUGUUAGGGAAGAACAAGUGCGAGAGUAACUGCUCGCACCUUGACGGUACCUAACCAGAAAGCCACGGCUAACUACGUGCCAGCAGCCGCGGUAAUACGUAGGUGGCAAGCGUUGUCCGGAAUUAUUGGGCGUAAAGGGCUCGCAGGCGGUUUCUUAAGUCUGAUGUGAAAGCCCCCGGCUCAACCGGGGAGGGUCAUUGGAAACUGGGAAACUUGAGUGCAGAAGAGGAGAGUGGAAUUCCACGUGUAGCGGUGAAAUGCGUAGAGAUGUGGAGGAACACCAGUGGCGAAGGCGACUCUCUGGUCUGUAACUGACGCUGAGGAGCGAAAGCGUGGGGAGCGAACAGGAUUAGAUACCCUGGUAGUCCACGCCGUAAACGAUGAGUGCUAAGUGUUAGGGGGUUUCCGCCCCUUAGUGCUGCAGCUAACGCAUUAAGCACUCCGCCUGGGGAGUACGGUCGCAAGACUGAAACUCAAAGGAAUUGACGGGGGCCCGCACAAGCGGUGGAGCAUGUGGUUUAAUUCGAAGCAACGCGAAGAACCUUACCAGGUCUUGACAUCCUCUGACAACCCUAGAGAUAGGGCUUUCCCUUCGGGGACAGAGUGACAGGUGGUGCAUGGUUGUCGUCAGCUCGUGUCGUGAGAUGUUGGGUUAAGUCCCGCAACGAGCGCAACCCUUGAUCUUAGUUGCCAGCAUUCAGUUGGGCACUCUAAGGUGACUGCCGGUGACAAACCGGAGGAAGGUGGGGAUGACGUCAAAUCAUCAUGCCCCUUAUGACCUGGGCUACACACGUGCUACAAUGGACAGAACAAAGGGCUGCAAGACCGCAAGGUUUAGCCAAUCCCAUAAAUCUGUUCUCAGUUCGGAUCGCAGUCUGCAACUCGACUGCGUGAAGCUGGAAUCGCUAGUAAUCGCGGAUCAGCAUGCCGCGGUGAAUACGUUCCCGGGCCUUGUACACACCGCCCGUCACACCACGAGAGUUUGCAACACCCGAAGUCGGUGAGGUAACCUUUAUGGAGCCAGCCGCCGAAGGUGGGGCAGAUGAUUGGGGUGAAGUCGUAACAAGGUAA